GAUGAACGCUGGCGGCGUGCCUAAUACAUGCAAGUCGAGCGAACAGACGAGGAGCUUGCUCCUUCGACGUUAGCGGCGGACGGGUGAGUAACACGUAGGUAACCUACCUAUAAGACUGGGAUAACUUCGGGAAACCGGAGCUAAUACCGGAUAAUAUUUCGAACCGCAUGGUUCGAUAGUUAAAUAUGUCUUUUCUAUCACUUAUAGAUGGACCUGCGCCGUAUUAGCUAGUUGGUAAGGUAACGGCUUACCAAGGCAACGAUACGUAUCCGACCUGAGAGGGGGAUCGGCCACACUGGAAGUGAGACACGGUCCAGACUCCUACGGGAGGCAGCAGUAGGGAAUGUUCCGCAAUGGGCGAAAGCAUGACGGAGCAAGGCCGCGUGAGUGAUGAAGGUCUUCGGAUCGUAAAACUCUGUUAUUAGGGAAGAACAAAAGUGUAAGUAACUGUGCACGUCUUGACGGUACCUAAUCAGAAAGCCACGGCUAACUACGUG
rnacentral:rRNA from 1 species